ACCCCAGCCGAAGAUCGUGAAGCCCCAGAGGUACUUCUUCUCUGAGAAGAAGGCCAUGAAGAUGAGACUGUGCAGGUGUCCCUAAAGAAGAGCAAGUUCCCAGACUAACUGUCCCUCAGCAGAGAAUGUUUCCUAUGUGCUCCUUGCCCAGGGACCAUGGACUAGAGGAAGAAGGUCUAGUUUCCAGUGCCAGCUGGACUCCUGAAGAGCUGCCCACCUCAUGCAGGAAAUGGACUCAAGGAAGAGACCAGCUUGAGACUGGGGCAGGAGCUGUGAGGUCAGACCCUCCUCCUUUGGCCCCGCCCCCACCUGGCCUCUGCAGGACUUCUUUGAGCCGCUUCUCACAUUGGGCCUGGGCACGGUGCAGCAAGAAGAUCUGCUCCUCUUUGGUCAUGACGUCAU